UCCCGGAACCUGCAGUCCACAGUGUAGAGCCGCUGAGGGUGGGGGUGGGGGUGAGGCCGGCCGACCCCCCCACCGCGCCCGUGCCGGCCGGCCCUGCCCGGCACUCACCGACCCGUAGAGGCGGCCCCGGCGGUCCAUGGCCACGUAGAAGCCUGAGGACACUGCUUUGAUGACCACGACGCCCACGUCACCGCUGCUGUCCACCGUGCUUCGUGCAGGACCCUCAGGACCACGACAGACACCAGGAAGACCCCCCAGGACCACGAGUCCCCUCCCGACCACAACAGACACCAGGAGCCCCCCCAGGACCACGACAGACACCAGGAGCCCCCCGCCCCAGACCACAGGUCCCCUCCUGACCAUGACAGACACUCGGGAGACCCCCAGGACCACGAUAGACACCCAGGAUUCCCCCCCAAGGCCAUGACUGACACCAGGAGCCCCCCAGCAUGUGAAGGAGGAGCGAGGAGCAGGCAGAGGGAACGAGGAGCAGGACGGCCCCCUGGUGCUGGAGGGAGUGCAGGGAUCGACGAGGACCCGUGGGAGAGUCCACCAGGCCAGGUCAGCGCUGUCCCUGCAACCCAGUGCGAGGGCAGCAUCCGUGUGUGUGUGUUGCGGGGGGAGGUCCCAGACAUCCAGGGGGACGCCAGGGGCCGGAACACCACGAGGAAGGUUGGCAGAGGGUUCCUGGGAUGUGGGAGUCAGAGCGGGCAGGGCCCGUCUGGGCCGCUGUUGACCAUAAAUGAGCCAGCGACAAGCACCACCCCAGGGAGCCCCAGCCCCGGCCCUCAUAGCUCAGCGGCUCAGCCCACGCACAGUCACUGGGACUCAGAGCUCCGGACUGGAGGCCAGACUGGCAGUGGCCUGGAGUGGGACACCACAGACAUGCUUGAGUGCCAACUGUAUGCCAGCUGUCCUACCAAACCCACUCCGCAGCCCACAUCACAGAGAGGCCAACUGAGGCCAGCGAGUGGCAGAGCCAGAUGCAGACCCCGUCGUCUGUGGGUGGCCCAGGGCUCACCCUGCCCCACCCUGAGCCAAAGUGUCUUGUCCAACAAGGACCUUGGGCCCGGCCGCCACUCCUCACCCACACUUGCCGACCCCAGCCUGGGUGCCUGCCGCUUCCUCAGCCGGCUGCACAGUUCCCCGUGUGCCCGGCCAGCUCCCUGUCAAAGUACAAGCUCCUCGGGGCGGCCUCCAGGCCCGACCUUCCAGGGCACACGGGAACGUCUUUGAGGCGGUUGUUGUGGGGUGUCUGUGUCACCAUCUCCCCUGGCCCCUUCCUCGCCCUGCGCCUCCCCGCCCCUGGCAAGGCGUCUCCCAACACCGCUGUUCACUGUUCUGCGCACCCA